CCGGCCGACAGAAGAUGGCGGAUGAGCAGCGUGCAGGGUUUUCUCCCUGUGGCUCACUCUCUCUUACUGUGCUGGGCGGUUGCUUCCUCUCCUGCUGCCCUUGGGAGUCAGACUCCAGGUUCUUCAGCCUGUGGCCCCUGGGGCUCUCGGGCCUUGGAGGACUGACUAGGAGCACACGGUGGGCCUCUCUGGUUUGGGGGCCUGGGACGUGGCGGAGCCCUGCAGCUUCUGUGCGGCCUGUUCUGGGCGUCGCGUUGAAACGCCAGCCAGUUCCCCAAUCCCCCUGGGAUUACAGGAGUGUUGAAGAAAUGUUGUGACACAUCAGAACACCGCGAAAUACAUGGACACUUUCAAAUCAUGGAAGACUCAAGGGUCAGGAGGGCAUCUUUCUCGGCUCUUCACUGUGAGAACCUUGUGGGAUUCCUGAAGAUGAAACCAUGAACGCGAGGGAGUCUUGCUAAAACUGCAGCAUUCGAGAGGUUUUCACUCAUGCUGGCUCACACUUGUCCUCUAGCAAUUCAUCAAAAUUACCACGUAAGUGUUUCAACAGUUUAUGGCUCAGGUGGCCUCAGCUGUGAUGCUCCAAAUUUGCCUGUUUCUCCAGAUGCAGGGUAGCAGUUUGCUGUUUCUCCUGAGUUCUUUGAUGGAUUCAAGAAAAGUCAUGAUUUUCAGUUUGUUCUGAUUUUUUCUUGUGAGGGCAAAGUAAUGACUAAGCUUUAAUGUGUUUCAGCUAAAACUACAUGUAUUUUAAUAGCAAAAUGAGAUAUAAUUCACAUGUCAUAAAAGUCACCAUUUUUGGGUGCACAACUCAUUGGAUUUUAGUAUAUUCCAGGGUUAUGCAAGAAUAAAUAUUCUCUAAUUUUGGAACAUAUUUAUCUACUCAGAAAGAAACUUUGUGCUCAUUAACAGUUACUUAAUAUUCUCUCUCCCCUAACCUAUGGUAACUACUAGUCGACUUGCUAUAGAUUAGGUUACUUUGGAUAUUUCAUAUAUGUUGAAUCAUAAAAUAUGUGCCUUGGCUUCUUUCACUUACCGUAAUAUUUACAAAAUUCAUUCAUCUUACAAAGUACUUCAUUCUAUUUUUGAUUUUAUGGGUUAAUAAUAUUCUACUGUCUGGCUAUAUACAUGUAUGAAUAAUGUGGCAACAUUUUGUCCAUACACUCAUCAUGUGAUUAGUAUUUGCUUUGUUGUUGUUGUGUGUUUUUUAUUUUUCAGUUAUUAUGAAUAAUGAUUAUGAAUUCAGUUAUUAUGAAUAACUACAAUAAAUAGUUAUGCAUAA
rnacentral:lncRNA from 1 species